UACGGGGGGGGCAAGCGUUGUUCGGAAUUACUGGGCGUAAAGGGCUCGUAGGCGGCCAACUAAGUCAGACGUGAAAUCCCUCGGCUUAACCGGGGAACUGCGUCUGAUACUGGAUGGCUGGAGUUUGGGAGAGGGAUGCGGAAUUCCAGGUGUAGCGGUGAAAUGCGUAGAUAUCUGGAGGAAUACCGGUGGCGAAGGCGGCAUCCUGGACCAUUACUGACGCUGAGGCGCGAAAGCUAGGGGAGCAAACGGG
rnacentral:rRNA from 1 species